GUAGGGAAUAUUGGGCAAUGGAGGCAACUCUGACCCAGCCAUGCCGCGUGCAGGAUGACGGCCCUCUGGGUUGUAAACUGCUUUUAUACGGGAAGAAAAAAUACUACGUGUAGUAUACUGACGGUACCGUAAGAAUAAGGAUCGGCUAACUCCGUGCCAGCAGCCGCGGUAAUACGGAGGAUCCAAGCGUUGUCCGGAUUUAUUGGGUUUAAAGGGUGCGUAGGCGGAUCUUUAAGUCAGUGGUGAAAGCCUGCAGCUUAACUGUAGAAUUGCCAUUGAAACUGAAGAUCUUGAAUGUGGUUAAAGUAGGCGGAAUGUAUCAUGUAGCGGUGAAAUGCUUAGAUAUGAUACAGAACACCGAUAGCGAAGGCAGCUUGCUGAACCAUUAUUGACGCUGAGGCACGAAAGCGUGGGGAGCGAACAGGAUUAGAUACCCGAGUAGUCC
rnacentral:rRNA from 1 species